CACGUAGGGGGCGAGCGUUGUCCGGAUUUAUUGGGCGUAAAGAGCGUGUAGGCGGCCAGACAGGUCCGUUGUGAAAACUAGAGGCUUAACCUCUAGACGUCGAUGGAAACCAUCUGGCUAGAGUCCGGAAGAGGAGAGUGGAAUUCCUGGUGUAGCGGUGAAAUGCGUAGAUAUCAGGAGGAACACCGGCGGUGUAGACGGCUUGCUAGACCACCCCUGACGCUGAGGCACGAAAGCGUGGGUAGCAAACAGG
rnacentral:rRNA from 1 species